UGGGGAAUAUUGCACAAUGGGGGAAACCCUGAUGCAGCGACGCCGCGUGAACGAAGAAGGUAUUCGCAUCGUAAAGUUCUGUCCUAUGGGAAGAUAAUGACAGUACCAUAGAAGAAAGCUCCGGCUAAAUACGUGCCAGCAGCCGCGGUAAUACGUAUGGAGCGAGCGUUGUCCGGAAUUAUUGGGCGUAAAGGGUACGCAGGCGGUUUAAUAAGUCGAAUGUUAAAGAUCGGGGCUCAACCCCGCAAAGCAUUGGAAACUGAUAAACUUGAGUAGUGGAGAGGAAAGUGGAAUUCCUAGUGUAGUGGUGAAAUACGUAGAUAUUAGGAGGAAUACCAGUAGCGAAGGCGACUUUCUGGACACAAACUGACGCUGAGGUACGAAAGCGUGGGGAGCAAACAGG
rnacentral:rRNA from 1 species